rnacentral:rRNA from 1 species
UACGUAGGGGCUAGCGUUAUCCGGAAUUACUGGGCGUAAAGGGUGCGUAGGUGGUUUCUUAAGUCAGAGGUGAAAGGCUACGGCUCAACCGUAGUAAGCCUUUGAAACUGGGAAACUUGAGUGCAGGAGAGGAGAGUGGAAUUCCUAGUGUAGCGGUGAAAUGCGUAGAUAUUAGGAGGAACACCAGUUGCGGAGGCGGCUCUCUGGACUGUAACUGACACUGAGGCACGAAAGCGUGGGGAGCAAACAGGAUUAGAUACCCGGGUAGUUCCUGAGCGGG